UACGUAUGGUGCAAGCGUUAUCCGGAUUUACUGGGCGUAAAGGGAGCGCAGGCGGCGCGCCAAGUCUGAUGUGAAACCCCGGGGCUCAACCCCGGGCAUGCAUUGGAAACUGGCGGGCUGGAGUGCCGGAGAGGUAAGCGGAAUUCCUAGUGUAGCGGUGAAAUGCGUAGAUAUUGGGAGGAACACCAGUGGCGAAGGCGUCUUGCUGGACGAUGACUGACGUUGAGGCUCGAAAGCGUGGGGAGCAAACAGG
rnacentral:rRNA from 1 species